rnacentral:rRNA from 1 species
AGUACAGACGAGUUUGAUCCUGGCUCAGGAUGAACGCUAGCGGCAGGCCUAACACAUGCAAGUCGAGGGGUAGAACACUUCGGUGUUUGAGACCGGCGCACGGGUGCGUAACGCGUAUGCAAUCUACCUUGUACAGGGGAAUAGCCCAGAGAAAUUUGGAUUAAUGCCCCAUAGUAUAUAACCUUCGCAUGUUGGUUAUAUUAAAGUUCCAACGGUACAAGAUGAGCAUGCGUCCCAUUAGUUAGUUGGUAAGGUAACGGCUUACCAAGACGAUGAUGGGUAGGGGUCCUGAGAGGGAGAUCCCCCACACUGGUACUGAGACACGGACCAGACUCCUACGGGAGGCAGCAGUGAGGAAUAUUGGUCAAUGGUCGCAAGACUGAACCAGCCAUGCCGCGUGCAGGAAGACGGUCCUAUGGAUUGUAAACUGCUUUUAUACAGGAAGAAACCCUCCCACGUGUGGGAGCUUGACGGUACUGUAGGAAUAAGGAUCGGCUAACUCCGUG